UCCCAAUAUAUCCACUUAGGCCAUGCAAUAAUUUUGACUAUCUCAUGCAUAGUAGAUUAAAGAAGAUCUGCAAUUUAUUUUUAAAGCUUUGAACCAAACACUUGGAUGAUCCUAGAAAAAAAGGGGCUUAAAAUAUUACCAACCUCAUGAUUGCACAAAACUGGAAGCCCUAAAACUUCCCAGUAAAACCUUGUUUCUCUGCACUCUUUUAUCAACAGCUCCAACCAUGAUCAGUGCAUAAAUCUACCUUAAACACAGGAUGCUGGAGAGGUACCAAGGGAGAGCAGCGUGCUCCUGGCUGCGUGGUGAGAAGGGAAGGACGCACACACAGUUCCAACACCAGUGGUGACCAUCCUGCAGGACCCCCAAUGCUGUGCCCAGCGUGCCUCGCAGCCCCAACCCACACCAACUAGAAGACCUUCAUGACUUCAGCAGGAGCCAGCAGCAACACACAGGCACAAAGGUAAAGAGCAACCUUCAUACUUACAUGACCAGAGUGAGAGAAGUGAGCUGAAUGAUGGUGAGCUGGGUGCUGAGCAUGGAGAAACUACAUGAGUGAGCUGCAGCUGCUACACUGCUGAGGGUG
rnacentral:lncRNA from 1 species